GUCAGCCACAGAAAGACUGUAGGCGUCCAGACCAAAGCAAUGCCACAAGAAGGACUGCACCAUGAUGUGAGGUCUCAGAGUAAGAAUACCUCCAUGCGAUUCCUGUUUCUCCUACCUAUCACAUCUGGUCUAUGGCAGGUUAUCAAAACCCCUGUAAUAUCAUGAGAUUAAAGAAUGGAAGGAAAAAGAUGAGGUUUUCUGAACUAAAGAAACAGGACGGGCCAAAUCUGUGAAGACGACUCUAAGGAAACACCACCACAUAGCAAUACACAUUGCUAAUCCUGAGUAAUGCUUGGAGGUGUGCUUUGUACAGCUGACUCCCUUGACCCAGAUCCUCUCCAUGUCCAUCCAAGAAGAUCAAGAUACACCUGAAAAAUCUCAUUUAACUUCCAAGAACAGUUUCAGAGAUGAAUCAACUCUUAUAUUCCUUUUUUUAAUUAAAUUUCUAAGAGGGCUGAA